GACGAACGCUGGCGGCGUGCUUAACACAUGCAAGUCGAACGGAAAGGCCCUGCUUUUGUGGGGUGCUCGAGUGGCGAACGGGUGAGUAACACGUGAGUAACCUGCCCUUGACUUUGGGAUAACUUCAGGAAACUGGGGCUAAUACCGGAUAGGAGCUCCUGCUGCAUGGUGGGGGUUGGAAAGUUUCGGCGGUUGGGGAUGGACUCGCGGCUUAUCAGCUUGUUGGUGGGGUAGUGGCUUACCAAGGCUUUGACGGGUAGCCGGCCUGAGAGGGUGAACGGCGUCAUGACGACUACGGUAGGCCGCAGUAGGCUAUGGGACGCAACAGUGGAAAGUCUUACACAAUAGGCGGGAGCGUGAGGAGGCGGCGCCGCGUGCGUAAUAACGGGCUUCGAGUUGUAAACCACUUUCGCCGUUGCCGAAGCGUGAGUGACGGUAAUUGAUCAAAAAGCACCGGCUAACUACGUG
rnacentral:rRNA from 1 species